rnacentral:lncRNA from 1 species
UAAAACUAAAAUUGGAACUUAUAUCCCAAAUUCUCUAUAUACACAUAACGAUCUAGCAUUUCCAAUUUCCCACACACUCCCUCACAAUGGUAAUUUUGAUUCAGUUCUCUCAUGUUUUCUCUCCUAUAACCCUAGACUAAACCUUGGAAUAAAAAACGACGGAAUGGAGAGGUACACAAGCAGAGGAACAAAUGGAGACGCUGGAAUCAAAAAACAAGGGAUGAAGAGGUACACAAACAUGAACAAAUUUGAUGCUUCAUUUUCUAAACACUAUUGCUUCUCUCUCCACCAUGUCGAUUUCAUGAAUAUUGAUCUAGAUCCCUACACCAUCUGCAUCGAUUCACCGCCAAACACCUGAUUUAUGAAUUUCCAGGCAAGAAUCUCGAACCUCUCUAUUCUCUUAUACUAUGCUCUCCCAACUAAAGUUUUGUAUGUUUGUCGCUGAAAAUCUCAGGAAACCCUAGCCUCACCCCAAUCAAACAUGUUCCUGUGAAGUCCAUGGGAUGUUUUGGUGAUGUCGGUAACUGGAUCAUAAGAAGUACGUGAGAAAGCUUUAUUUUGGGUUUUUUAUUGUUAGGUUUCUUAAUACAUCCACAUAGGAAUGCAUAUCUACAUAUCUAUCUUAUUGGGCUUUUUUGAAGAUAAAAUCAUUUUGUUAGGGUUUUGUUUGCUGCUUUCGAUCCCACCUCCAUUUACAGGUUCGAUUUUUUCUACUUCUUUUGGUGACGUUUCCAUCAAUUAACAAGGAUACGAUUUUGAUUUUGGUGAUGAGUGGAUGCAAGUCUGAUUUUAUGUUCAUUGAUGGAUUUCUUCUCCAGAUCCGAUUGUAGGUAUAUUACUUUUGAAUAAAAAUAUUUUCUUUAGAAAAACUCAAGUCUAAAAUCUUACGACCUGGAAAGUGGAAACCUGAAUACAUGAAGGAUUUCUACCUUAAAGACAUAUUAUUGGAGAAAACAUUUAUUAACAUGCUAUUUCGUCUAAUUCUUUAGGUUUAGGUAUGGAAAACUAGAAUCAAAUGUUUGUUUUUCAGUUCGUUUGUUUAGGCUUAUAUUGAAAUUUGAUAUUGAUUAUGAGUUCAUUGAAUGAUGAUCUAUAUAAAGAUUGAUUUCUAUAUGUUAGUGUCUUAUUAAUAAUAUGAUGGUUCUGUUAUGGUUCAUAUGUAUUUAAUUUUAUGGUUUUUUUCAUUGCAGAUAAAUUUCAAUUUUAGAUAAAUGCACUUUCUACAUCUUUUACUUAUGAAUCUUUUAUGGUCCAUAUUAGACCUGGAAUUUUGAAGCCUACAACAAUAAAAGGUGGGGUUUAAUAUUUUAGUGUGCCUCCCCCUAUACCACAUGGGUCAUCUAUAAAAUUCUUCAUACCUUAUAAUUUGAAUUAUAUAUAUANNNNNNNNNNNNNNNNNNNNNNNNNNNNNNUAUAUAUAUAUAUAUAUAUAUAUAUAUAUUUUAAUAUUUGACAUAAACUCAAAAUAUUGAAUCCAAACAGGGGAAAGUUGAUCUUCUAAAUGUCUUUGAAGACGCAAGGGAAGGAGAGUCAAAGGAAGGAGAAUGAGUUUGUUCACCAGAUUUGGUUUAAAAGACAUUUGAGGUAUGCAAAUUUGGUCUUUUAUUUGAUUUGCAGAAGAAGCCUUAUAGAUUUUAACACAUGGGUAGUAUCGUUAAUUAGAACAUGUUAUAUAUGUGGUUGCACAUGGCCCGCCACAAUAGCUAAGGGGCACGUAUGUUCACAACAGAUCUGAUGGAACUCCUGGUGGCUAAUCUACACAGUGAGCAUCUUAUUAGUCUUCAUGUUUCUGCUUUUAAUUUCACCUAUUAUUCCGAGUUAUGGCAACUUCUGAUCUUCAAUUGCUUUAUCAUGCAAUUUCGUAGCUCAAUAUCUUUUUUGGUGGUAGGGGUUUCAUUUACUGUUUUCUGGAGCCUCCACAAAUCCAAUGACAUCAUGAUAUUCAGGGAAGUUUAUAGGCUUAUUCCUGAUCUGGAUCAUAGACUUAGUGAUGCACUAAACUGAAUUGCUUUUUAUUUUUUAUUUUUUUUUAUUUCUAUUAUUACAUGUUAAACUAAAUGGGAUUUUUUUGAAUUUCUAUUAUUACAUGUUAAGAAAUAAAUAUGAUGGGAUGAGUGUCAUAUUUUAAUUUGUCUAUAAUGGUAAAUAGGAAAAGAUACUUGAAAGAAUGAAGUUGCUUCAAAAGCUGGUAGUUUGCUACCAAUUGGUGACAAGGAGGAAAUCAAGUAUCACAUGGUUAGAAAAAAUGAAGUAAAACUAAAGGGAAAAACUAAAGGAUAUUGUAAAGAAAUACAUCACAUGGUUAGAAAAAAUGAAGUAAAACUAAAUGUUUCAGUUACAUAUUAAUAUUGUUACAGAGUCAAUUGUUUUUUUUUCUUCUUCUUCUGAGCCUCUUAAUCCAUCAAUUUCCCCUUUGUUUUACUACAAUUUUACCCUUGUGAAGCUACAAUUUCAAUUAGAUCUUUGACAAUUAUCACUUUUAGCAAAGGGUUCAAGUGAAGUAAAGCAUCGCGAAUUUCUUUUAUUAUAAGAAGCACUUGUGGCCAUUGUAACAAAAUCAUAUCUAUUAUAUUCAGGGGAUAGGGAAUAUACAUUACAGCCCCACCUAAGCUUAGGUACCAAGCCUCUAAAAUAUGUCGUUUUAACAUGCUAAAUAUACCCGGUUUUGUUUCACUUGGUAAAUAUAUCAUUCUCCAUAACAUUUCUUUAUUUCAUUAUCGUUUUAUCAUCUCCGUUUUCUUUCCUCAAUUAUCGUUUAUUACUUCAUCCAAGUAAGCAUUACUAAACCCUAAACCUAAACCUAAACCCUAAAUUUAAGCCCUAAACACUAAAGCUAAACCCUAAACCCUAAAUCUAAACACUAAACCCUAAACCCUAAACCCUAACCCUAAACCCUAAACCCUAAACCUAAACCCUAAACCCUAAACAUAAACCUAAACCCUAAAUCCUAUUGUGUCGAUCUUGAAUUUACAUCUUGAAGUAUUAAUCAUGAAUCCAUUAACUGUAAUCUUUAUAUAGUAAAACAAUGUAUUUUCAAGAGGUUUAGUACCUAAGCUUAGGUGAGGCUGUAAUGUAUUUUCCCUUUUCCCUUAUAUUUAUUACUAUUUUUUGAUUUGUUGUAAUUGUAAUAAUACAAGGAGGCAUGAGAUGUUUUUUUAAUCCGUGCUGUUUAUCAAUGUUUUACGUAUCUUUUUUGUAAUCUUAAUGUUUGGAUAAAUUUAUGUGUAUAAAUAUAUAUUC